rnacentral:rRNA from 1 species
GACAGAGGUGCCAAGCGUUAGGCGGAAUCACUGGGCUUAAAGCGUGUGUAGGCGGACUUCUAAGUGCCUUGUGAAAUCCCACGGCUCACCCGUGGAACGGCUGGGCAUACUGGGAGUCUUGAGCCACCUAGGGGCGAGCGGAACAAAUGGUGGAGCGGUGAAAUGCGUAGAUAUCAUUUGGAACGCCAACGGAGAAAUCAGCUCGCUGGGGGUGUGCUGACGCUGAGACACGAAAGCCAGGGGAGCGAACGGG